rnacentral:rRNA from 1 species
CCUACGGGAUGCAGCAGUGAGGAAUAUUGGUCAAUGGACGAGAGUCUGAACCAGCCAAGUAGCGUGAAGGAUGACUGCCCUAUGGGUUGUAAACUUCUUUUAUAUGGGAAUAAAAUGUUCCACGUGUGGGAUUUUGUAUGUACCAUAUGAAUAAGGAUCGGCUAACUCCGUGCCAGCAGCCGCGGUAAUACGGAGGAUCCGAGCGUUAUCCGGCUUUAUUGGGUUUAAAGGGAGCGUAGGUGGAUUGUUAAGUCAGUUGUGAAAGUUUGCGGCUCAACCGUAAAAUUGCAGUUGAAACUGGCAGUCUUGAGUACAGUAGAGGUGGGCGGAAUUCGUGGUGUAGCGGUGAAAUGCUUAGAUAUCACGAAGAACUCCGAUUGCGAAGGCAGUUCACUGGACUGCAACUGACACUGAGGCUCGAAAGUGUGGGUAUCAAACAGGAUUAGAUACCCUAGUAGUC